UACAGAGGGUGCGAGCGUUACUCGGAAUUACUGGGCGUAAAGCGCACGUAGUCGGCUUUGCAAGUCGGUUGUGAAAUCCCCGGGCUCAACCUGGGAACCGCGCUUGAGACUGGCGGACUCGAGUUCGGGAGAGGAUGGUGGAAUUCCCAGUGUAGAGGUGAAAUUCGUAGAUAUUGGGAAGAACACCGAUGGCGAAGGCAGCCAUCUGGACCGACACUGACGCUGAGGCGCGAAAGCGUGGGGAGCAAACAGG
rnacentral:rRNA from 1 species